UGGGGAAUAUUUCACAAUGGGCGCAAGCCUGAUGCAGCCAUGCCGCGUGUGUGAAGCAGGCCUUCGGGUUGUAAAGCACUUUCAGCGGGGAGGAAGGCGAUAAGGUUAAUAACCUUGUCGAUUGACGUUACCCGCAGAAGAAGCACCGGCUAACUCCGUGCCAGCAGCCGCGGUAAUACGGAGGGUGCAAGCGUUAAUCGGAAUUACUGGGCGUAAAGCGCACGCAGGCGGUCUGUCAAGUCGGAUGUGAAAUCCCCGGGCUUAACCUGGGAACUGCAUUCGAAACUGGCAGGCUAGAGUCUUGUAGAGGGGGGUAGAAUUCCAGGUGUAGCGGUGAAAGGCGUAGAGAUCUGGAGGAAGACCGGUGGCGAAGGCGGCCCCCUGGACAAAGACUGACGCUCAGGUGCGAAAGCGUGGGGAGCAAACAGG
rnacentral:rRNA from 1 species